AUGGCUUCACUUACGAUUGUUAAUUGCAUGAUUUAUUUUUGUAAUUAAGUUAUGCAUCUUGUGUGUGAAGCUAUAAUGACGUUCUCCUCAAUACCAAUGCAAUGAUUGUAUUGCAGUUGGACGUUAAGGGAACAACAUUU